rfam:Peniophora sp. CONT PENSPscaffold_167_Cont250, whole genome shotgun sequence.
UCCCUCUUAGCUCAGUUGGUAGAGCGCGUCACUAGUAAUGACGAGGUCAGUCGUUCAAAUCGGCUAGCGGGAA